GAUGAACGCUGGCGGCGUGCCUAAUACAUGCAAGUCGAGCGAACAGACGAGGAGCUUGCUCCUCUGACGUUAGCGGCGGACGGGUGAGUAACACGUGGAUAACCUACCUAUAAGACUGGGAUAACUUCGGGAAACCGGAGCUAAUACCGGAUAAUAUAUUGAAUCGCAUGGUUCAAUAGUGAAAGACGGUUUUGCUGUCACUUAUAGAUGGAUCCGCGCCGCAUUAGCUAGUUGGUAAGGUAACGGCUUACCAAGGCGACGAUGCGUAGACGACCUGAGAGGGUGAUCGGCCACACGGGAACUGAGACGCGGUCCAGACUCCUACGGGAGGCAGCAGUAGGGAAUCUUCCGCAAUAGGCGAAAGCCUGACGGAGCAACGCCGCGUGAGUGAUGAAGGUCUUCGGAUCGUAAAACUCUGUUAUUAGGGAAGAACAAAUUUGUAAGUAACUAUGCACGUCUUGACGGUACCUAAUCAGAAAGCCACGGCUAACUACGUG
rnacentral:rRNA from 1 species